GGCUAGGAGGACCACGGAGGACCAGUUAGUCGGUGUACGCCAAUGACAUUAUGGAGGGGAGGCCCAGUUUAAUAGCGUGUUAACUGUGCGGGGAAAGGGAAGUCUUGUCUACCAGAUCACGCUAUCGAAAUUGCCCUAAGCAAGGGAAGCCCUGUUUGGCUGCAAAACCACGUGAAAGCAAAACCAUUUAGCCAGAAAGCUGACUUGAUGUCCUGUCACACCAGACAGUGAGAAUUCCCAGCCACAGUCAAUCAGUUGGUCUUUAUUCAUUGCAGCAGUAAACCCUGCAUAGGACGGUUUUCUUACCUAAUCCAGCGGAGCAGCUGAACAAGGUCAACGAGGCAGGAGGCGUGGUCGAGAAGCCAGGGUCAGUCAGUCCGAAUGAAGCAUGCAGAAGUGUGGGAGUUGCUUGCAGGUUGGGUUGCCAGCAACANGCGUCUCAAGGGGGUGCAGAAGAAGCGCACGGGUCCCCCCUUGGAGGGACUGACCGGGACGCCUUCGCCUUUGUGCUUCGGACGGCGCUCCGGCUGCUGUUCGACGGGACGUCCGGCAACGUUCCAUUGGAGUGGCAGAAGAAGCGGAAGGUAUGUUUCCAGCCAGUGCGGACGCUUGAACGUGUGGCCGAUGCUCCGGUUCAGGUGGACCGAAGAGAUACUCUUGUUGUUCCAUCACUGAAACUGUCCGGAGCUGGUGGUCUCGUUGCCCGACGUGACUGCAUCUCGGCGUGGGUCUCGCUUCGGAGCAAGGUGCGACUCCUAUUGGACUGGACUGACACGGAGAGCGGCUUUACUCUGUGGACUGGACUGAGUCAGACCGGCUUUACUCGACGGACUGCUUUGCCCUCGCUGGGCAAGUGAAAGAUCGGGACUGAAUGAAGGCCGCACUCUCGGGCAAAGGACUGUGGGCUGUUUGUGGGUUUUGCAACUGCUGUCUGAAGUGAUGCUUGCUGUGUGGGCCGAGUCUGUUCUGCUCUAGGUGUCUCUAGAGGGUGGGGAAGGUCCUGCCGUGGAGCAAUUGAGGGCGGGCACCUUUGCCUUUGUGCUUCUGACGGCAUGUGGGGCCCCUGUGCUCCGGCUGCUGUCUGAUGGGAGGUCUCGAGAUGCGAAAGCGAUGCCGAUGCUGGUGUUCAAGUUCCGGUGCGAUGGUGACUGCUUUUCACAUGAGAAAAACACAUUCUUUAAAAUCUUUAUUAAACUUAAACUAAACCUUCUCAAAAUGUAUUAAGAGUUUAAAAUGGUAGCUAGAAACUAAUCUAGAAGAGUUAAAAUGUUAGAAACUAAUUUUAAAAACUUAAAAUGCUAGUUAGAAACUGAUUUAAAAAUGUAAACUCUAAUUCCAAAGUAAAUUUAAAAGUGUUUAAUAUUUACCUAAAAAAUAAGAUAACAAAAAACCUAAAGAGUAAAACACAAAGGGACACACACCACACUGUCCACGCACCCCUCGUGCUCAUCGCUUGCCGUCGUCUUCCGAAGAAGAUGCUCUCGCCGGUUCAUCGCUCCAACCGUCCGGCACCCGGUCUCGUCUGGAAACGCAGUGAGUCCUUCCAUGUUUAUUGUGUCUCGUCUUUGUACGUCCGUCUUGCUGCACGUUAUUAAAUCUACGUUGUUCCGUCAGAUACAUUCGUUGCACUUUGAAAUAUCUGGGUUUUAUUUUCUUGUGACCGCAUUGUACGAAC
rnacentral:lncRNA from 1 species